rnacentral:rRNA from 1 species
GUCCUUUAGAUAUUAAUUUAAGGUCUAACCUGCCCACUGAAUUAUUUUUAAAUGGCCGCAGUAAUUUGACUGUGCAAAGGUAGCAUAAUCAUUAGUUUUUUAAUUAAAAGCUUGUAUGAAAGGUUGGACGAAGUAAAAUCUGUCUCUAAUUAAAUUAAUUUAGAAUUUAACUUUUAAGUUAAAAGGCUUAAAUUUAACUAAAAGACGAGAAGACCCUAUAGAUCUUUAUAUUUUUAUUAUUAAAUUUAAUUAUGAAUUUUUUAAAUUUUAUUGAUAAAAUUAUUUUAUUGGGGUAAUAUAAAGAUUAAAAUAAUUCUUUUUUUUAAUUUACAUUAAUUUAUGAUUUUUAUGAUCCAAUUUUAUUGAUUAAAAGAUUAAGUUACCUUAGGGAUAACAGCGUAAUUUUUUUAGAGAGUUCUUAUCGAUAAAAAAGUUUGCGACCUCGAUGUUGGAUUAAAGAUUAUUUUAGGUGUAGAAGUUUAAAAAUUUUGGUCUGUUCGACCAUUAAAUCUUUACAUGAUCUGAGUUCAGACCGGUGUAAGCCAGGUCGGUUUCUAUCUUUAGUAAAUUAAAAUAUUUUAGUACGAAAGGACCAAUUAUUUAAUAUAUUAAUAUUUAUAAAUUUUGAUUAUUAUUAA